rnacentral:rRNA from 1 species
UGGGGAAUAUUGCACAAUGGGCGCAAGCCUGAUGCAGCCAUGUUGCGUGUAUGAAGAAGGCCUUCGGGUUGUAAAGUACUUUCAGCGGGGAGGAAGGUGUUGUGGUUAAUAACCACAGCAAUUGACGUUACCCGCAGAAGAAGCACCGGCUAACUCCGUG